GUGAAGGUUCCAGAACAACAGAGGGGUGAAGGUUCCAGAACAACAGAGAAGGGGUGAAGGUUCCAGAACAACAGAGAAGGGGUGAAGGUUCCAGAACAACAGAGAAGGGGUGAAGGUUCCAGAACAACAGAGAAGGGGUGAAGGUUCCAGAACAACAGAGAAGGGGUGAAGGUUCCAGAACAACAGAGAAGGGGUGAAGGUUCCAGAACAACAGAGAAGGGGUGAAGGUUCCAGAACAACAGAGAAGGGGUGAAGGUUCCAGAACAACAGAGAAGGGGUGAAGGUUCCAGAACAACAGAGAAGGGGUGAAGGUUCCAGAACAACAGAGAAGGGGUGAAGGUUCCAGAACAACAGAGGGGUGAAGGUUCCAGUACAACAGAGGGGUGAAGGUUCCAGAACAACAGAGGG